GGCCGGUUAGCUCAGUCAGUUGAGCGUAACGCUAACAACGCUAAGGUCACGGGUUCGAUUCCCGUUCAGUCCC
rfam:Apaloderma vittatum contig17146, whole genome shotgun sequence.